AAAUAGUAGAGUAUUGCAUUAAAAAGAAAAAGCUAAAAGUGGAAGCAUAUGCUUAGAAGAUCCUCUAUGCACCAACUAGCAAGUCACCUUUUAAAAGUUAAAAUAAGGCUAAUGCACCAAUCUCCUUUUUUUUCCUCUUUAAAGAUCAUCCUCUCCUACUCCUUCUUCUUCAUUUUUUCUCCUUUCCCAUAAAAAUGGAAGAUCAGGAAGAUGAUGGUGACGACGAUGAUUCAUGUUCUUCUUGAUGACGCAUCAUCAAGUGACUUUCUUUGGGCAACUACUAAUCCUUUGGCAAUGCACUACAUAUAUAUGCAGUAAGAUAUACAUAGCAGUUCAAGAUUCAAGGCUCUUCUUUUUUAGAAAUAUAGUUUUUCAUGCUAGAGAGGGGGGUAAUUUUCUUUCUUUUCUAUUUUUUCUGCUUUAUAUCUAUGCUGUAAUAUUCCAAUUUCAGCUGCAAUGUGAAUGUAAGUCAACACUGUUCACCGAGAUGUGGCCUUCAAUUAUUUCCUUAGAUUUCAUAUUUCGUAUUUGAUGUAGCUUUAAGGAUACUUUCUCAAUCUUCCAUACACAGUUCUUUAUUUUCAAGGCCGCACAAAACAAUGCCGUGCUUAAACAAAAAAUAUUGAUCUUUCAUUUCCUAGGUAGGUUUAUUACAAUUCCUUUCCUCUUUUUCUUUUUUUUUUGCUUCAAAGGGAGGACCUAAAUGUUGGAGGGCGACACCUUGAUCAUUUUCUUGUUUGUGGUUUGAAUUAUUUUCAUGUGAUAUAUUACUUUAUUUUAUUUUAAUUUGUAUGAACAUAUUUCCGUCCGUACCAAAAAAUAAAUUUGUAUAUAUUGUUUAAAGACGUCUGUUUUUAUCACUUAGGAAGUUGAAUUUUGCUAGUAGUAAAUUAUUGCACGACCCCAUUUUCAAGUUUGUCCAAAAUUAAGUGCCAUUCAUUUUGAUAUCAAGUUGGUUUUAAUAUGUGUAGCUUCAAGUAAUGUAAACUCUUCAGUUUGUGCAAUUUUAAAAAAAUCGCGAAUUCCUAUAAAAGAUGAAGAAACUACACAUGGGAAAAUAUCACUCCUACUAAUUAUUAGCCCUAUUCAGUAAAAGAAAGUUUAGAACUUUGCAUUAUUUUUUCGAGCUUCAUCGUGACCAAUAUUGAUGCCGCCAAAUGAAAAUUUUUGUUUUGUGUCUUGCACAAUUAAUUUGUCCCAUAAUUUUGUGGACCCAAAAUUUUAUGAAUCCAAUAAUUUAAAAUAUAGGUUCACAAAUUUAUGAAAUUAAAAAUGAUCUCAUACAACUAAUAUCGUUUGUGCGAGGCACAAUAAUUCUACUCUUUCAUUCUUGCCUCGAUCUUCAACAAUCAAGGAAACUACUCACUAGACCAUCAUCUAUUCAGGUAAGUCCUUCUCCUAAGCUUUUAUGCAAGAAGUUAUGGGCUUAAGUGUGUUGUGGAGUUGGAGAUAGGACAUGCAUGUGCCAAUAUGAUG
rnacentral:lncRNA from 1 species